rnacentral:misc_RNA from 1 species
GGAAAAACAACUUUAUUAAGACAAGUACUUGAAGAUUAUAGCAGAAAACAAAAUAAACCAUUCUAUGUUAUUAAAUAUCAAGAUGGUUGCAGCUAGUUAUCACCCAUUUCAUCCACCAUAAUGUAUCAAAAAUUUAUGUGAUCUAGGACCUUCUACUAUAGAUUUUAGAUAUGCAAUAAAUUUAGGAUAUUUAUUAAGCAGUGUAUUUUACUUAUUUAGGUGUUUAAAAUGAUAUAGUAUUCUUAAUUAGAAUUAGUUUCACGUUUUCUUGUUUUGAUAUAUUAUAAAUACCUAUGCCAUUUAGGUUUUGUGGUAGAGAUACAACUGAAAAUGAACCAAAAUUUUGGAAGAUUUUUUUUUCCCCUAGGAUAGAUUCCUCUUAACUUCAUAGAAAAGGUUUUUCAAAAUGUCCCGACUAAAAUCUUAUCACCAUGGAUUUCAAGAGGCCAAGUCUCAACAACUAAAACUUGUGAUUCUUCAAACUGUAUUUCUUGCUCUACAUCAUGAAAUUCUUGCCUUACAUUCUUUUGAGUUGUAAUUACAUUUUCAAGAACUCAUGAUAAUGCUUCCAACUUUACUUCAAUCCUAUCGAGAGUUUCUUUAAGGCACUUCCCAACUUUCUUGAGAUUGAAUUCUGAACUAGCAUCAUAAGCCAAAUGGUCUGAACUUAUAUGUGGCUGAGUAAAAGAAAUUUUCCAAUUUUCUUGUUGAACACAUAUUACUUCUUCCAUGAGUCAAAUUCUCUCUCCCUAACUAAUAAAAGAUGUUUGACAGUUAAAAAUUCUUAAAAUAAGUUAGGAUGGCAAAUUUUUGCACUCCCAUAUGCAUCCCUUAAAUAAUAUAUCUCAUUUAAUUAUACCAUGCAAGAAUCAAUUUCAACUUUUAAUUUUGAAUUUCAGCCCACAUAAAAUAUCACUAAAUACACAAUUUGCAGCUGUGAUUGUGCAUAAAAUAAUUAUUUCUGCACAUGAAAAAUGUCAAAAAUGGAAUCCAGAUGUCAAAGUUAGCAGCGAAGAAUUCUGCCAAAAAUGCCAGUGUGGAAGGUACACUGAUGUGGUGCUAUCAGAUGACAUGGCACUUGGCGACACUAUGGUAGGUGACAUGACGUUGACAUGCUGAAACAGUAGCAGCUGACGUUGUAAGAACCGGAUCUGGUGUAGACAGGCCAGACCAGCAAUAUGCGAUCAGAUGAACUUGGGACCCAGCUCUUAUGAGCGCAUGGAGGGUCAGACAAGCAAUCUGUCAAUGACAAUAUGUCAAUCGGCGGCCGAUGAGACUCGUGUGAGGUGCAGAUGUCAGAUUCCAUCCAGUUAUAGGCAAGUUGUGAUUCAGAGUUACACUUAAACGAUCGUUCGGUGAUGGGUAAAGGCUUGAUGGUGGUAACGUGGUGUUUUGGUGAAGAGAUGAUGGUGGAGUGUGAUGGAUAGUGGUGAGGGCAUAAGGAAACCAAGGCAACAAAAGUGAAGAAGGAAAGCC